rnacentral:rRNA from 1 species
UGAGAGACGAUCAGGUAGAUAGGUUAGAGGUGGAAGCAUGGCGACAUGUGGAGCUGACUAAUACUAAUCGAUCGAGGACUUAACCUAAG